CGGCUCAGUAGAGGAAAGAGAAUAAAGUUACCCUGAAGUAGCCUGAAAAACGGUUAAGAUGUGUCAUGUACAAACUUCGUACCAUGAAGGACAAAAUUAAUUCAGAGGUGGACAUAAGGAUCAGACAGCUGGAGAGAAGACACCAGCGUUAUUAAAAGUGUACUGAAGGAUGAGUUAGAAUCUCUGGUGAGCUCUAGGAAAUCACUAGCUACUUGUGAAUCAAACAUCCACAAGCAGUGUGCUGUGCACCAGCUACCUGGCUGCAUGCGAGGGCUGGCACUGUGUACAGGAAGACGGAGGAAAGACGGCCACCACUAGCAGCUCGCAGUCUGCUCAGGCUGACACAAAGCAGAGGGACCUGUAGACAAAAUAUUCAACAAGAUGCUACCCAUGGUCUCAGACGACUCCCUCCACUCCUAAGAACCCUUUGGGAGAAUUUCACUUCAAUGUUCAUCUCAAUAAAAAU